rnacentral:rRNA from 1 species
UCCCGUCUCUCACUUGCCUCCUUCUUCGAAAGAAGCGGGGGUCAAGUGAGGGGCGGGGAAAGUGGCGAAAGGGGCAGUAAUGCGUGGGUAACCUACCUCGGGGACGGGGAUAGCCUUCCUAACGGAAGGGUAAUACCUGGCGAUUCGGCGAGAGGACAUCCUCAUGCCGGGAAAUGAGUUUCGCCUCGGGAGGGGCUCACGUGAUAUUAGCUAGUUGGUGAGGUAAUGGCUCACCAAGGCAAAGAUGUCUAGCGGGUGUGAGAGCACGACCCGCGCCACUGGCACUGAGACACUGGCCAGACACCUACGGGUGGCUGCAGUCGAGGAUCUUCGGCAAUGGGCGCAAGCCUGACCGAGCGACGCCGCGUGUGCGAUGAAGGCCUUCGGGUUGUAAAGCACUGUCGAGGGGGAGGAAGCCGCAAGGUUGACCUAUCCCUGGAGGAAGCACGGGCUAAGUUCGUGCCAGCAGCCGCGGUAAGACGAACCGUGCGAACGUUGUUCGGAAUCACUGGGCUUAAAGGGCGCGUAGGCGGGUUUUCAAGUCUGUGGUGAAAUCCUCCAGCUUAACUGGAGAAGUGCCGUGGAUACUGGGGACCUCGAGGUGGGUAGGGGCAUCUGGAACAGCCGGUGGAGCGGUGAAAUGCGUUGAUAUCGGCUGGAACUCCGAUGGCGAAGGCAAGGUGCUGGACCCUCUCUGACGCUGAGGCGCGAAAGCCAGGGGAGCGAACGGGAUUAGAUACCCCGGUAGUCCUGGCCCUAAACGAUGAGAACUAGGUAGUGGACUAACAUGGGUUCACUGUCGAAGC